GUAAAUAUAGUUUAACAAAAACACUAGAUUGUGGAUCUAGAAACAGAAACUCAACACUUCUUAUUUACC
rnacentral:tRNA from 1 species